UACGAAGGGGGCUAGCGUUGCUCGGAAUUACUGGGCGUAAAGCGCACGUAGGCGGCUUUCUAAGUCGGGGGUGAAAUCCUGGAGCUCAACUCCAGAACUGCCUCGAUACUGGAGAGCUCGAGUCCGGGAGAGGUGAGUGGAACUGCGAGUGUAGAGGUGAAAUUCGUAGAUAUUCGCAAGAACACCAGUGGCGAAAGGCGGCUCACUGGCCCGGUACUGACGCUGAGGUGCGAAAGCGUGGGGAGCAAACAGG
rnacentral:rRNA from 1 species